AUUAAAAUGAAACAAGUGAACACAACAUGCAUCGAUUGUUUAACACCUUAGCUAGAAACACUAAUUAAAUGUCUUUUAAAAAUAGAUUCGGAAGCACAAAACCCAGAGAUGCUUUGGGCAAGCAGCCAUACCACUGAAACCAGAGGAGUAUGUCUGGUUCAGGCGUUACAACAGACUUCGUGGUCAAAUUGAGGGAGGCUCAGAGGCAUCCACGUUUUUUCAUACCACUGUUGAAGGGCCCUUGUUGAAACUCCCAGAGUAUUUUAAGGGUGCCUGGGAAGGACUGAAUCUGGGUCCUGGCCCCACAUUCAAUAUGUUACGUUCUUCUGUUGCCACUUUUGCCAAGCAGCAGCUGGGACUUGAAAAAUAUGAGAGGGUAGCAUCAUUCAUGUGCCAUCAUCCCCAAACAGCCAAAAGAUUUUACCAAGCGGAUGACCCGACAGAGGACACAGUCCAGAGCAGAGCAUUGACGAUGAUAGCAGUGUCAAGCUAUGCAGUUAAGGAAAAGAAGAAGAAA